AUGUCAGGAAGACAUCUCUUGAUCAAUUGCUUGUACUUUUUCCAAGCUUCAUAGAGGGAUUCACCCUCUUUUUGUCUGAAGGUUUAAACUUCCACCCUGAGCUU